ensembl:lncRNA
UGUCUUCUCUGUGCGCGUGCAAGGUGUCCGUGAAGAAGAAAUUUCGGGAUUUGAGUCAGGAGCUGCUGAACUGAGGAGUAUUUUAUCCCGUUUCACUUCUGAGGAGAAAAUAGUCUCAGCUGAUGCCAACGACCAGAAAAAAUACAGAAACGACGCUCACCAAUGAGGCGCUGAAGAGAGGAGAAGCUUUGAGAUUCAUGCAAUGUGUUUAUUUUUGGGGCGAGAGCAUUCAUCAGAGUGAAGCACAGGGUUGGGAAGCAUACGGCAUCUUUCGAGGACAGCUGGAGGAAGGGGAUGCUGGGAUACGUAAGCUUGCUAUUCUCCUGCUGGUUGACUGGGAGUAUUUCCCUUGUGUGGGAUGAGAAUGUGAUUGAGGGGCUCCAGGGGCUUAUGAGCACAUUAAGACCCCCAUCGGUCCAUGAGACAGAUGGACCGUAUCUCACACCACAACACAGCCGCUGCCUCUCAUUUGUUUAAUCUACAAAAUGAUUUAUACAAAGACUUAUUUCAUGACAAAAGUCUCUUCAGAGAUGCAGUUUACCGGUGCGGUUCAGAUACAGCAGCCUUUGAAUGAGAGCCUCGGCUGACUUUACACCCACAUGAAUGUGAUGCUGGCUGCUUUGGCCUUGAUCAGGCUCUUUCUCUGUUGAUCGGUAGCCCUUGGACUGAACUGAGGCAUACAACUGUGCGUGUUUCACUUUGUGGUACUGUGUGUAGAACCUUUUCUCAAGUGUCAGCAACAUUUUUGUGCACGCACACACUCGAGAAGGAGUGUUAAACACACUGAAAAUAGAAUAAAAGUGGUAGCAACCUUUCUUUUAAUUGUAUG